rnacentral:tmRNA from 1 species
GGGGAUGAUGGGUAUCGACGAGGAACUGCACUUUUAAAAAUGGUUAGGGCGCAUCUAUGCGAUAAAUAGAAAACCAAUAGCAGCAAAGAAUGAACUUGCUGAAGCUUACGAAGCCGCGAUGUACAGGCAGUAUCAACCUGCUUAUGCAUACGCAGCCUAAGUGAGCUCUCUUUUAGGCUUCCCUAGGUACCUGCCUAUAAAGGGAUAAACCAAUCUAGGUAAGAUGUUCUUGGACUCCCGAUGGACAAGAAGAUCGAUAUACCCAUGCAUCGGCAGCUUACAAUAGGUUUGAGCAUUUUCCUUAGUAAGCAGGAAGUAAAGAUACUCUAGCCCUAGCUAAACAUUUUUAAUUGAGCUUCUUCGGAUGCGGGUUCAACUCCCGCCAUCUCCACCA